CCCGUGUUCAUUGUCGGUCAGGAAAACUAAAUAGAGAAGAAUUUUUUGAGCACCAUCUAAUGGUUGAAAUCAAAUCCAUCGCCCGAUCCAAUGGUUCAUGUUCGAUCCGACUAAGAACUAAACUGAUUUGCAUUGAUCAACAUUCCAGAAUCAAUCUGAGGCAAGAUCAGAUAGCUGACAGUGAUGUCGACAUUGAUAAGGCUUGAUGCGAUGAUUUUUGGCA
rnacentral:lncRNA from 1 species